rnacentral:lncRNA from 1 species
AUCUCCUGAGUAGCUGAGAUUGCAGGUGUGACUGAAGAAAUAUCAAAUGUUUCCUAGUAAGACAGCAACUCAGGAUGGUUCACAUUUGAGUAAAGACAGGGGAGUUUGUUUUCAGAAUGACAUACUAGUCUGCAGGAUGAAUUUCAUAACUGACAUUGCACCUUGGACUGCAACUAGGACUUUCACUGGAAUCAGAGAAAGAGUUUUGAAGAAAACUGGGCAUAGGCUCAGCAAAACCAAACAGAAGAGGAACAGAAAAAGAAACAAAAAGCAGAACAGUCAGAAUAGAAUCAUGGAGGAAAACUCAUUAGAAUUCUUAAGUGAUCUUACACCGGGAGAUCAGGACCCAUCUCAGAGUGAAGAGGAAGACAUUGAAAAGACCAGAAGAGAAUCAGAAUAUCCCUUCAUUGAUGGUCUACAAAAUGAAGUCGGAGAUUUUGUGACUGGAUAUAAAGAAAAAAGGUGGAAAAAUAAAGAUCCUAAAGACAGUUUCCAAAACGUUAUGUCUAUAGUUGAAUUAGACAACACACCAAAGAAUUACCUCUCUAAGGAAGGUGAUAACUUGUUUGUAAGUUUGUUACUGAGGCCAAAUGAAAUCUCCGUUACUUGUCCAAUACUGACUCAAAACCUUUCCUGUGUAACAACUGAUGACUGCUCUGGCAUGAAGGUAGAAAAGCAUAUUAGAAAUAGGCAUACCAUAGCAUUAGACACCCAGGACCUUUCUGCGGAAACUUCAUGCUUAUUUAUGAAGAAGAGAGAAAUAGUAGAUAAAAGUCUCCCACAUGAACCCAUUCUGUGCCAUCAACAUGGAAUCAGAAUGUCAGAUAAAGUUUUAAGAGAGGAACAAGUGUAUACAACUAAAAUCAAUCACUGGGCUUUUUUCACAACCAAUUUAUCUGAUGAAGAUUUACAGCUGGGCUCUGACAGACAGCCCUAUUUUGGUAGCUGGCCUGCAGGACCUCAUAAGUUUAUAUGUGAACAGAGACCAAAGAAAGAUAGAGCACGUAAGUUGGCUGGUCCUGACAGCAGGGGGCAAUGGAUUCAAAUGAUCUUCACUUCGGUGGCAGCAUCAGAACCAGGAAACAAUCCAGAAAUACUGACAGACAAACUACUGAUAGGAAAUGAAGAUUUUUCACCUCCACCUGAAACUAUGGAUUCAUUCAUAGAAACAAACCUCUUCAGAAGCUGCUUACCUCAACCGGAUAUACCAAAGAAUGCCUUAGAAUCAACAAAAAAUAAGAAAAGGAGGAAGAAAAGGAUUUUCAAUUUGGUACCAAAUUUUGACUUAUUAGGACAGAGUCAUAUCGGUGUAAAAGAAAGGGAGAAAUGUGACCUGUUAACAAAAAACCAUGGACUAAAAAUUACUUUGGGAGAAGAAAAAGAUAGAAUUUCAGAAAGGAACAGUGAAGAGGAGAAUAAACAACAACUUAUGACCUUUGAUCAUCAUCCAUUGUGGUUUUACCUUGAUAUUAUCAAAGCCACCCCUUUAAAUAUUGAUGGACAGCGUUAUUCUCAUUGCCUGUCAUUUAACAGACUAAGGUGCUCUGCAUCUUUAUACAAAAAUUAUAUUCCUUCUUUUGUGCUACAUAAUUUAUCUAGUAUUUGGAAGCCAUCUUUUACAAACAAGAAACUGUUUUUGACUUUCGAAUCUCAGACAAGUGUAGGUAAUAAACUAAAUGAUGCAGGGUUUAUUUCUCCAGAAAUUUUACAUAGUCAUCCUGAUACUUCGUGCUCUUUGGGAGUCACUUCUCAUUUUCACUUUUUAAAUGAAAGGUUUGAUAGAAAGCUGAAAAGAUGGGAAGAACCUAAGCAAUUACCAGCUGA